UACAGGGGGUGCAAACGUUGCCCGGAAUCAUUGGGCGUAAAGCGCGCGUAGGUGGCCCGGUAAGUCCGCUCUGAAAGUCACAGGCUCAACCUGUGAAAGCGGGUGGAUACUGCCGGGCUAGAGUCCGGAAGAGGCGAGUGGAAUUCCUGGUGUAGCGGUGGAAUGCGCAGAUAUCAGGAGGAACACCAACGGCGAAAGCACUCUGCUGGGCCGACACUGACACUGAGAGACGAAAGCUAGGGGAGCGAAUGGG
rnacentral:rRNA from 1 species